UUAAGGAGCAGCUGGAGGCAGCAAAAACUAUGGCCACUGCCAGAGCAAUGUGCCUUGCAAAGAUAAGGUCCAGUGAGUUCAGCUACACAAAGCACCUACCUAAGAUUCCCAAUACACUCAAGCGAGGCAGAAUCUUGGGGUCAAUUUGCAUCUACAGCAGACAGCCAAGACCCAAGCUGAGAUCUGGACACAGUCUUCUUUCCCUCAGAAAAUUCCCAACAACACCUCCAUGUGGAUCCCUCCAUUAUAAUUAAGAAAAGCAAUUAAGCAACACUGACAACAUAAGAAGGUAUGAGCAUCUCGGGAAGGCACAAACUAGUGAAAGAGAAGGAUGGCUGAUAUGAAGAUUUGCUGAAUAAUUUCUGAGAAAUGAAAAGUUGAAAAAAAGUCAAAGUUUCAGAAUAAGUGCUCUGGGUUAGUCAAUAAGUUAAUUAUAAAGAUGCUCCUCUAAUUCUUGAAAAGUAAAAUAAUGUGCUUUUUAAAUUGGA